CUACCGAACUGUCCGAACUUCCCCACGAGCACUGCGCAUCUGGCCCUAAUCCUGCCUCACCUUCUUCCCCCGACUGCGCACCCGGCCCUAAUCCCGCCUCACCUUCUUCCCCAGACGGCUGUCGGCCAGGUGCUCCUCCAUCACGCCGUUGUGCUACGCGGCGGCCGUCGACCAGGAGCUUCUCCACGCUGCCCCUGUUCUGGCGACGCGGAUCUCCUCCACGCCUGCCUCACCGGCCACCCGGCCACCUGCACGGUAGCUGACCCCUCCUUCCAUCCCCUUCCCAGCGUCGAUUCUCGCGGAUGCGGGACUUUGACUCGAUUGAGCGCCCGGCGUGGACUCCCUCUGCAUCUACUUCGGUACUCCUCCCAAUUCCCAGACCACCAACACAACGCUCACCAGCGAGUCCAUAUCCAGUCACGAGGGAUCCACACGGGGACGGUUUGCAAUCCCGCACGGCCCUUCCCCAACCUCCUGCGCCAGCCACCGUCGGCCGCUGCCCUCCCCUCUCCAAUCCCCUGCCUCGUCCACCUCUGCGCGCUGGCCGGCAAGCUCCGCCCCAUCAUGGUCCAGGCUCGCUGCAGUCUCGUCUCAGUCAGGCACUCAGGCCAGCGUGGCCGUCGAGCCAGGCCAAUCGACCUGCUGUGGCACUCCAUCGGGUGAUCUGAACUGCCCGUUUCUGAGCUGCCGUGUUGUUUCUUCUAGUUGUUCUUUUGGUUCACAUUAUUGUUGUCUGACACAAUAACAGAAAGUCAAACAAAAAAAAUAGAGGAUGGUCUUUAGCGAGGACAAUCACCUGGAUGACAGAUAUACACGAUAUGUUCAUUGGAGAUCAUUUGAACUAUUAUUUUGAGCAUUUCCUGAAGAAAAAACUCCAGACUACCACAUGUGCAGCCUCUGUCGCUGAAUGGAAGCUUACGAUUGGGUACUGAACUACUGAAAGGCCGACUCCCAGUCUAUGCUGCGGCGACAUGUGCACUGCAUCCUGCUGGACAACCUUUGCAUCAGUGUCGACACUGCUGCUGCAGAGUUUGUUUCUUUUACUUUUGAACUGCAUGCCCUACCGGUUGCACUGCUUUAUGUUUUCAGAAUUCUGAUGCUAUUUCUGAACCGCUACUUCUGAACUGUCCACCUCCCUUUACUUUGUUCCUCUUGUACAGAAGCUCACAAGCUUGCCUCAUCGAACGAUCUAGUCAAUCGUAUUGGAUUGGCUCAGUCCAAGAAAUAGUUCCGAGAAAAAUGCAGGAAGUGCAGUAGUUCAACGCGAGUAGUCCUUGUGUUGUAAGUUCUGGAAUACUAUUUACGUAAUCUGAUGCCAUUUUGUAGCAUAAAAAAGGUUGAAAUAAUGAUUUACUAUGUUGCGAAAUCGGUGUGCAUAUACACGAGGAAGCAUGGCCUUGGAUCUCUAUAGAUCCAGAACAUAUAAACAUAUAAAGAACAUAUAAAUAUUUCUUUAUCUUCUGAAAUUCACUAUUUUAUCGGGUAAAAGUUCACUUCGCCUAUGAGGGGAAGUUCACCUAUUUUAAUUAUGCCAUCAUAGUCUUUUGCAUAUUAUCAAUUGUGUAUUGCAAAAGAAUUAGCAUUCAGAGAUGCAACUUAUCUAUGCCUUCAUAGUUCACAAAGUGAAGUUCUGGUGGUACACUUAUGUAUUUAGGGCAGGUCAAAAGUCUGAUUGAUGUGCCGGUACUUGCUGAUUGAUCUUGCUGUUCUUUAGCCCUUAUCUUUUUUGAUUGAUGUGCCGGUACUUCACAAUUUCUAGUUAGGACGUUCAGUUUGUACACAUGUGAAGUUCACUUUUAUCCAACAAAAAUAUUAAUACUUUUAUUCUUAAUUAUCAGGACUGUACUUUAUUUGUCGUAGAAGUUCGUUUUCUAUUUUUCGUGUAGUUCAGUUUUUGCUUCUCGAAAAGUACUGCAGCUUCAGUUUGUUGUUGUUUGUCACUAGUAUGCUGCCGCCUUCCACCUUCCGUCCCGCGCGCCGCCGCCUUCCGCCCCCGGCCCCGCGUGCCAUCGCCGCCCGCCUCCCGUCCCGGGUGCCGUGCUCCACCAACGGCCCGGGUUGCUUCUGCCGUCGUUGACCCGCAUCACCCCGCCUGGGGCACAUGGCAGCACUCCGGCGAGCGUCGCUCCGAACUCCCUCUAGCACCAGGUUCAUGCAGGAAAUUAGUUUGCGUUUGUGCAAAUACUCGAGCAACUACAGGAUGCCGACGAUAUUCUCUCAGGAGCAUUGCCAGGACGAGUGCAGUAUGUGAAGUUCAUUUCUUCUAAUCCUUGUAGUUCACUUCCCCUAAUUCAUGAAGUUCACAUCUCUUGCUACUUGCUAUUUAGUUCAUCCAUUAGGUUUAGAUAUGAACUUGUUUAUUUAGUUCCUUGUGAAAGUCAAUUUUUUUGUCGAAGUUUAGUUUUAUCGACGGGAGAGUUCACUUUAUUUUUUAUAAGUUCAAUUGUUAUAGUGCAGAUAUUCAUUUCUUUCAGCAAAAAAGGGUCUAAUUCACCCACGAGGGAAAGGUUCACAUUUUGUUGUCACGAAGUUCACUAUUUUCAAAUCCGAAAGUUUGCAUAUGUUGCUAAUUUUUAUUGUACUUCUUCAUGGUUUGUGGUACUAACUAAAUUACUCUCAGUUCAUGUCACUUGCGUUUUUCUUUGAUUUCUCAGACCGUAUGCCCAGAAGUUCAAUAUGAACGCGUCGGUAUUUCACUUUGUCUCACUGAAAAAUCAUCUUAUCAUCGGGCAGUUCAUUUUAAAUAUGCAGAAAGUUCAGUUGUGUCACGCAUGAAAAUUCAUUUCAUUUUGAUUUGGAAAAAAUUUGGUGGGAGGAAGUUAUUAUUUUUAGAUAUUGUUUUGUGAGCUAUUUCUUGUAGUUUGUUGUGAAUUGUAUGUCCGGAGGUCCACUUGGUUAUGACCUGGAAGCUCACAAUUCAUGCUCCACUAUGCUUUUUGUUCUGCACCUAAGAGUCUUCAUGGUGAUUGUUUGCACUUUAGGCAUGACUGGAAGCUUAAUCUUUUCUUAUCUGACGUUCACUUUCUCCCUACCGCGAAGUUUGGUACAUGUACAUGGGAAUUACAGCUAAUUAAAAAGCAAUGUGGUUCAGAGGUUCACCUUUUUAUUUGCUAAAAGUUCAGUUCCUCCAUUAGGGGAAGCUCACUUGUUUUUGCAUAUACUUGUGAGCGAGGUACACAAGUGUAAUUUUAGGGGUGCACUUUUUGCAUCCGGAACAAAAUCACUCUUAUUAAUAGGGAAGUUCGUGAGGUGGAGUUUUGUUCUUUUUGGUCGGUGAGUUCACUCCAAAUGCCUGGGGAAGUUCACUUUUCUCUCGAUAAGUUUUUUGUUUGGAAUUUCCUUCUAUGUUUGCUAUCAUUACAAACUUGCUUUGUUACAUGAUUCUAUGACCAACUUUUGCCAUUCUUUUAGUUGCUUUGAUGUAUGUUUGUUAUCUGAAGUUCACUUCAUGCCCACCACAGAGUUCGGUACAAGUACAUGGCAAUUGCAGUUAAUUUAAAACACUGUGGGUCGGAGGUUCACCUUUUGGGUGGUUCACUUAUUCAGCAUCUGCAGCUCGCAUGAAUAUGAGAAGCAACUCACAUUUGGCAUCAGUCCAGUUCGCUGUAAUUUUGUCUGAACCAUGCUUAAAACAGGAAGUUCACCCUCCCUUGGCUCUGCCAUGCUCGGCAUGGCCAUGUGAGUCCACCCAUCGCUGCCCAGGAGUCCACUAGGCGUUUCACUUUUUUAGUUCUAGGCGGUUCACUUUCUUAUUUUAGAAAAUGGAAGUUCACUUAUUUGGCAUCCGCAGUUCACACGAGUAUAAGAAUUAGGUACUUGAUAAGUUGAGUCUCAUCGUCUGAGCAAUACAUGCAUAUACAGCAGGGACUUCCUGAGCGCCGCCACUCCAAUGAGGCGAUGCCAUAGAGGACACGGCUUCUGGGUGAUGGACGUGGCUUCGCCGUCGCUCCAUGACCAUCGUGUCAUCAAGCCCAACCUCCUCGUGCCGUAGGGGCGUCCGUUGAUGAGCAUUGUUAGGAUGGAAGCAAAUGUGGGAUGUGUGAAGUUUACUGAUUAAUUCAUGGAGUUCGGUUCUCCUAUUCGUGAAGUUCAUGUCUCCUGAUACUGUACUUUACAUUAUUCCUGCUAUAUGGUUUUUAUUCGUGAGUCUGUUAGAUGGAUUAUUUGUGAAAGUUUGCUUCUGAUGUUUCCGCUCCGGGGUGGACGAUUUUAUAUAUUAACUAUGUGUGAAGUUCAGUUUUA